UACGAAGGGGCUAGCGUUGCUCGGAAUCACUGGGCGUAAAGGGUGCGUAGGCGGGUCUUUAAGUCAGGGGUGAAAUCCUGGAGCUCAACUCCAAGAACUGCCUUUGAUACUGAGGAUCUUGAGUUCGGGAGAGGUGAGUGGAACUGCGAGUGUAGAGGUGAAAUUCGUAGAUAUUCGCAAGAACACCAGUGGCGAAGGCGGCUCACUGGCCCGAUACUGACGCUGAGGAGCGAAAGCGUGGGGAGCGAACAGGA
rnacentral:rRNA from 1 species